ACCUCAGGGCAGAAACCCCACUUGGUGACCUGUGGCAUCAUGACUUUUGGGGUAGCAAACUCAGCAGCAAUACCAGUCAUAAGUCAUAUCGACCACUUACUGUCCUAACUUUCAGAAUUAAUUAUCUUUUUGCUGGAGGCUUCUACCCAGUUGGUUUCCAUGUCAUCAAUAUCAUACUGCAUUGUACUGUCUCAGUGUUGAUGGUUGAUGUGUUCUCAAUAUUAUUGGGUGGAUUGCAAUUCACUAAUAAAGGAAGAAGACUAAACCUGGCUCCAAAGACAUCUCUUCUAGCUGCUUUGCUGUUUGCUGUACAUCCAGUGCACACUGAAUGUGUUGCAGGGAUUGUUGGCA